UUUACUGGAAAGGAUUUUUAAAUUAUCCAUUUUUAGAAUAAAAUAUCAAAAUUGAACAUGCUUAUUAAAAAAGUUUUGUAAAAUUUUUGAGAAAAAUAGAAAAAUGUCUUCUCACAAGCCACUAUUCUAGUAAGACCAUCAUUUACCAUCAUUUGAAUCACUGUGUGUACCUCGGGGUUUUUCCUACUCCUUUUUAUCACAUUGUUGCAAUCACGCUGUUCUGACUUCCUGUUUUCCAUGUUAUUAUGUCUCUCCAUCAACCAUGACAUUUAGGGGUUUAGUUUUUUCCUUCUUUGAAUAUUUAGAUUUCUCUCAAGUUUUUGUUUUCAAACAUGAUGCUGUGAUAACCCUCUUUGUAUAGUAAGAUUGUCUGUAUCUAGAAUCACAUCCUUAAGAGAGAUCUGAAAAAAGUCUUUUGAUGAUCCCAAAAGCUCAGAGUGAGGCCAUCAUGGUCCGGGUUC
rnacentral:lncRNA from 1 species